rnacentral:rRNA from 1 species
ACGGAGGAAAAGAAACCAACAGGGAUUGCCUCAGUAACGGCGAGUGAAGCGGCAAAAGCUCAAAUUUGAAAUCCCCCGGGAAUUGUAAUUUGAAGAGAUUUGGGUCCGGCCGGCGGGGGUUAAGUCCACUGGAAAGUGGCGCCACAGAGGGUGACAGCCCCGUGAACCCCUUUAACGCCUUCAUCCCAGAUCUCCAAGAGUCGAGUUGUUUGGGAAUGCAGCUCUAAGUGGGUGGUAAAUUCCAUCUAAAGCUAAAUACCGGCGAGAGACCGAUAGCGAACAAGUACAGUGAUGGAAAGAUGAAAAGCACUUUGAAAAGAGAGUGAAAAAGUACGUGAAAUUGUUGAAAGGGAAGGGCUUGCAAGCAGACACUUAACUGGGCCAGCAUCGGGGCGGCGGGAAACAAAACCACCGGGGAAUGU